CCUACCGCCAAUUAUCUUGGUUAGGUCCAACACCUAAUCCCCGAGGUACGAUAAACUAAGGUCCAAUUACUUCCCUUACUUGACAACGAUUCGUACGCUUGCGAAGAGUUUAUGAACCAAGUCACCCUCUUAAGCUCACACACACUCUCAUCCUCCUGCGAUUCCGGCAAAGCAAGUUUGGGAACCAUCUCCAAGCACCUCUUGAGUAUACAAGUUUGGGUUCUUGCUCGGUUGGUCGCACUCUGCAAUUUUCAGCUUAUUUUUUUCUCUAUCUUGCCUUGUUUUGCAUAUUGUUAUUGUUGGUCUUUCAAGUGAUUUAUCUCUCAGAGUUGUGUUCUAGGGGGAAGAGGACAAUCGAAGUAGCCGGUUGAAAUUGUCAAUGUUCCUGCUGCUAAUGUAGCCUCAAUUUGGUUUUAAUGUUGCAAAGAACGUCAAUGGCAGACAAUCUUAAGGAUCAAUGAUAUCUUUUGCUAUACUAGAUGAAUCACUAGUACAUUCAAACAAUUGAUACCUUGGACAAAAGAAGAGUUGACAGGUUAGUUGAAAGCUCAAUGCUAGCUAUCAGUUGAGUGACGAGCCCAGAUUUCUCUUUUGUAGUUAGGUGGGAUCUGAUAUCAUCACUUGUGCUCAUGGAAGAGCUCAUAUUGAGUGCGGUUCUAAAAUGAAACACUAAAGUGUAUGAAGGAAGUUGGUGAAAUCGACACUUGUUAAUAUAUUUGUACUCUAUAGUUAGUGAUAUAGGAAAACAAUUUCAGUAGCUUUCAAGAUAUUAUGCUGAUCACAACAAUGGCUGUACUUGAAAUUAGCUAAUGUAAAAGCUAGCUGCUAGCUAGUAUAGUAUCCUGAAACUGAUGGGAUUGUAGUUUGGUGGGUUACUUGAUGCAAUGAGAA